AAUGAUAGUGCCUGUUCCACGACCAGAAGUAGCUGGGAAGAUGACAGGAUGAUAGCAGCUGGAGAGGACAGAGUGGGAGACAGCUUUGGGCGUGCCAAGCAUUCUCUCAAAGCCUAUGGCAAGUCAUAACUCGGUGCAGGGAUCAAAAGCUUCAAAGGAAUGUGAAUCCACCAUGAAGCUGGACUCAGCUUUGGGCACUCCAGAAGGGAUGGUAUUUUGUGACCUAAUCAGAGGGCUAAGUCUCCUCACCCCAGAAGGCAUUGGACACUAGGUGGAAUGGUACACAAACAGGAGGGAAACAGCCAGCCACUGCUGCAGCAUGCCAUGCCAUAAUCCUAGACUACUCAAGAAGCUGACUAAGGAGGUAACUGAGCUGUUAGUGAUUAUCUUCAAAAACUCAUGGAAGAUGGGACAGAUUCCAGAGGACUGAAAGAGGACAAAUAUAGUGCCAAAUCUAUAAAAAAAGGGAAUAAGGACAACCUGGGGAUUACAGACCAGUCAGUUUAACCUAAGUACCCAG